rnacentral:rRNA from 1 species
AGUGACAAGAUUGAAUGGUUGUUUGGGUUGAAAGGCAAAUACACAACCAAGUCAAUGUAUUCGUACCUGGACAGAAACUUAGGUGGCUGCAAGUACAGGUGGAUUUGGAACGCCAAAUUACCUGCUAAAAUCAAGAUCUUUUUGUGGCAGCUCCUUUAGGACGCGGUACUAACUAGAGAUGUGAUGAAACCUAGAAACUUGGCUGGAAACCUUCGAUGUUCUUUCUGCAGUUGCAGAGAAACUUACCCGCACUUGUUCUUUUUAUGCCCGAUUGCUAGGAUUUCCUGGUGA